GGUGUUCAGAGAUAGAUGGGAGGGGUUUGAUGGGGCUGAAGGAUGGGACUGGAUGGUGUUCAGAGAUAGAUGGGAGGGGUUGAGUGGAGCUGAAGGAUGGAACUAAAAACAAACGAAAGAUAACUAUUGUAAAAUAUACUGUGUCUGUAAAAUGUAUAUGUAAUGUAUAAACUGGAAGUAGAAGCCUAAUAGUUGUUGUCCAUUAGGGGAGGGAUGAUAGGGUUUAGGGAAAAUAAUAAAUGAAAAUAUAUUUUAAAAAAACAAACAUUUAUAUAUAUAUUUACAAAGAAAUAUAUAGGGGAUUGGAAAUGAGGCAGACAAUGACAUGAUUGAUUGAAGCCACAGUCUGCCUGUACUAUUAAAGUUGAUCUACCAUGUAAAAAACAUCAUCAGUAUGGGCAACGGAAUCUUGCAAUUCCGAUAUUUGUGGUUGAGUCUGGAGCUGGUGUAGAGGUUGGGGCACCCCUAAACCCCCGGGUCUCAAAUCUCAUUGACAUUUUACAGACGUGUUCAAUACGCCUUAUUUAUACACUUUUGUAAUAUUUAUGAAAUGCAUAUUGUUAUAUUUGGUAACACUUAUUUGUUUUUCCUUUGCCUCCAACCCCCUUAGAUGUGUAGAACGGAUGUGGGCGGGGUCAAGUCUACAUAAGGAUGCACAUUUUUUUAAAUCACAAAAGCUCUGACGAAGGCCAUGUGGCCGAUAUGUAAGCUUAUUAAAUAUCGGUGAUACUAUCAAGAGCAGUUUCCUUUUUCCUUCAUCUUGUUUCUAACUAAAGCAUUUAUCUUUUAAAAUUAUAACUUGUUUUGUGUGUAUUUGUUUUGUGAGGGUUGAGAGGUGUUUACCAGGUUUGUUUGCCAUUAAAUACUAUGCUUUAUUUGAGUUUAACCUGUAGUUGUUGUCUCUCUUCAAAGAAAAAGAUCAUAUUCUUGCUUAAGUUCAGACAUGGAAUUUUCUUCUUUACCUUGUAAAGAUUUUUUUAUGGUCUUUUUCUAAAAUAGUGACUUAUUUUUCUUUAAUUUAAAUUUCUAACUCAGAUUUUGCUUUUGCGGAGCAUGAGAUUUGUUAAAAAAGCAUAAAAGCAUCACAAAUUAUGUCGGCGGUUGGCUUUCUCUGGCCUCUAUGUCAAUUUUUUUUUAGAGUAAAGGUUUUUAAUUUACAUAUUUAAUACAUUUUGGGUAUUGAAGAUGCCCUCUGUGUCACGCCCUGGUCAAAGUAUUUUGUGUUUAUCUUUAUGUAUUUGGUCAGGCCAGGGUGUGGCAUGGGGUUUUUGUAAUUGUGGUGUGUUUGUCUUGGGGUUUUGGUGGUGGUAUUGGGAUUGUAGCUUAGUGGGUUAUCUAGCAAGGUCUAUGGCUGUCUGGAGUGGUUCUCAAUCAGAGGCAGGUGCUUAUCGUUGUCUCUGAUUGGGAACCAUAUUUAGGCAGCCAUAUUCUUUGAGUUUGUCGUGGGUGAUUGUCCUGAGUGUCUUGAUGUCCUUGUUUGAUGUUAGUUGACACAAGUAUAGGCUGUUUUCGGUUUUCGUUUCGUUUAUUGUUUGUAGUGUUCGUGUUUAGUCGUGUUUACGUUUGUUUAAAUAAACAUGGAUCGCAAUCGACACGCUGCAGUUUGGUCCGACUCUCCUUCACUAUAUGAAAACCGUUACACUCUGUUCAUUCUCCAUAUUCUGACACUAAGUGUAUUUUAUGUUGGUGUGACUAAACAUGAUACAAGAGAAUGAUAUCACUAAAUCAUGGAUUUUUUUAACCCAGUAUAUUGUUGAGUGGAUUUUUGGAAAUAAAAAUGCAAUCCUGAGUAGCUUUUCCUACUUUGAAACAAAAAAACGAGUAGUAUUUUGUAGUUGGGAAUAGUAAUCUUCAGGUGUCCUGUAAAAUAUUUAUAGAGAUGACAUUUUUCAUCCUCUUUGGCAGGUAAGCAUUUCACUGUAAGGUCUACUACACCUGUUGUAUUCUGCGCUU
ensembl:lncRNA